rfam:Branchiostoma floridae genomic scaffold BRAFLscaffold_14, whole genome shotgun sequence.
UGGCAAUGAGGACAUAAUUUGUAAAUAUCUACUGUGAUUACAUUUAUACGCUAUACUGAGCCACAU